UACGGGGGGAGCAAGCGUUGUUCGGAUUUACUGGGCGUAAAGGGCGCGUAGGCGGCCACCGCAAGUCGACUGUGAAAUCUCCGGGCUUAACCCGGAAAGGUCAGCCGAUACUGCGGGGCUAGAGUGCAGAAGGGGCAACUGGAAUUCUCGGUGUAGCGGUGAAAUGCGUAGAUAUCGGGAGGAACACCGGUGGCGAAGGCGGCCUUCUGGACGGAUACUGACGCUGAGACGCGAAAGCGUGGGGAGCAAACAGG
rnacentral:rRNA from 1 species